rnacentral:rRNA from 1 species
AUUGAACGCUGGCGGCAGGCUUAACACAUGCAAGUCGAGCGGAGAUGAGGUGCUUGCACCUUAUCUUAGCGGCGGACGGGUGAGUAAUGCUUAGGAAUCUGACUAUUAGUGGGGGACAACAUUCCGAAAGGAAUGCUAAUACCGCAUACGCUCUACGGGGGAAAGCAGGGGAUCUUCGGACCUUGCGCUAAUAGAUGAUCCAAAGUCGGAUUAGCUAGUUGGUGGGGUAAAGGCCUCCCAAGGCGACGAUCUGUCGCGGGUCUGAGAGGAUGAUCCGCUACACUGGGACUGUGACACGGCCCAGACUCCUACGGGAGGCAGCAGGGGGGAAUAUUGGACAAUGGGCGAAAGCCUGAUCCAGCCAUGCCGCGUGUGUGAAGAAGGCCUUUUGGUUGUAAAGCACUUUAGGCGAGGAGGAGGCUACCUGGAUUAAUACUCUAGGAUAGUGGACGUUACUCGCAGAAUAAGCACCGGCUAACUCUGUGCCAGCAGCCGCCGUAAAAC